CCUCUUCAAAUUCGCGGCUCCAGGCCCUAUAUUCAUUUUGUUCCCUCGGGGACUAUGGACAUAAAUGCGCUCGUCAUAAGCGGAUCGGACCCGGGGGCGGUACCCGGCGUCUCCACCAAACAUCCUUCAUUUGGGGAUCAUGGGGACGAAAUAGGAUCGACGGACGUCUAAAGGGGUUAGCUUUGUCUCGGCUGUCUGCCACCGUUACCGGCGAAAACUGUACAAUUGCAAAUGACAAUCGUGCUCCGAUUGCUCUGGCUGCGUAAGCAGUUCGAGGAAUCGAAAAUUAAGCCCUUGCGCUUAGCAGUGUAAGGCGGGGUUCGCAGGUACCUGGCAACAGAAACCUGCACU
rnacentral:tmRNA from 1 species